UUCUGGAAAUAUAUAUUUUUUAAAUUAUAAAAAAGUUCAUCUUGGAGGACACGGAUAUUUUGGGCGACCCGUUUAUCAAUCCCGCAGGAGCGGGGGAAGAGGGCCCUCAAUCUACAAAUAAAAAGUCCUCACGUAGAAUAACUCGUUUCCAGCCACCAUACAAUAAUUGUGUAGGAGGAAGAGAAGGAAACGGUGAUGGGGAAUGAGUCAUCAUCGUCGACUUAUAAGGCGUGUAUAUAUGAAGAAUCUCUCCUUGAUAAUGAAUACGGAAUUUCAUUUUAGUCUUCAUGCUAAGAAAUCUUACUUUUCAUUUUGAAUUAAAGGGGUAAGGAUACAACAAAGACAUGUCAUAUAUAAUAAAACUAGGUGUGUGUGUGUUUGUGUACAGAAGUGCAAGGGCCGUAAUUAUUGAGUAAUUAGGUACCAUAUGUUCAACAAUAGUACUUAUAUCUCUACAAUGAGGAGAGAAGAAAGAUCUCUCCUUUCUUUGUCUUCAUUUCGUUAUCAUCAUAUCAUUAUUAAAUGGAAAAUGGCAUUUAUUUGCUUCUCUGUUUUUUAAAUCUACAACUUUUUCAAUGAACAUAAAGGAAGAAAAGUAAACUUGAUAUGAGACAAAAUCAAGUUAUUAUUAUUAUAAUCAUCCAGGUAUGAUCAAAGCAUGCAUAAAUGAAUAUUUUUUCAACAUAUUUUUUUUUAAAUAUACAUAUUAAGAAUACUUAUAAAUGUAUUAAAUUAAAUACAAAACCCUCCUAUGUUGAUUGACGGUCAUUCAUUAAAAAUUGAAUUAAAACUUUAAUUGAUGAUUUAAUGAUGAAAUAAUAAGGCCACGUCCUUAAAAAAACAAAAAAAAAGUUAUUCAACUAGAUAAUUUUUGGACGAAUAACAAAUAGGCGGACACCAUCCCUCAUUUCAACAGUGAUAGUACACCAUUUUUUGUCAUAUUGUAUAAGUACAUAGGACUUAAGGGAACUUUUACGUAACUAAUUGUUACAAUAUACAUAUGUAUAAUUAUAUGUAAUUACUAUUGAAAUAUUUGAAUAUUUUCUGUCAGUCAUUCAAGCGUCGCUUUUUUAUAUAAAUAUUUAUUUUUUUGCAAAAAUCCUAUGGAAUAUGUAUAUAUGUAGUAUAUUUUUUAGAAUCAUAUCAGUACUAAAUAAACUUUCCACGAUACAUGAAUGAAAAUAAUAAUAAUAACAAAACAGUCAUUUAAAAAAAUUAGUAGUAAUAAAAAGGUUCCGUCUUACCUAUGGUGAUGUGAAAUUAAACAAUAAUUAACUUAACUCUGUCUCAAAUCAUGUUUAAUUAUUUUACAAGAUUAAUUUAUUCUCAACUCACCCCAGUGGAAAAAGGACCCUAUAUGAUAUAUAAGGAAGGAAUAAUUAUAGAUCGGAUAAUGAUGAUGUUAAGGAUUAUAUUAUAAUAUGUAUUAAGAUUAAUUAUAUGAUUAUUAUCAAUAUGUAAAGAGUAAGUGGAAAACUUUGAAAUAUGCUAUCAAAGUCACUCAACCUUUCAAUUAUUAUGGAUUCGUCAUCUUUUAGAGGCCUUUUACUUCUGCACUGCCAUUAGAUGGUGUAAAGUACACCUACUUCUUUCUUAAUAUAUGAAAUAGGGUAAAUAUGGACAUACAUAAUGCAUAGAACGGCGAUUUUCUUAGUUGUUUGUAUAAGUAUGUAUGGUUGUAUUAAAUUCAUUAUUAUAGUAACCAUAGAUUAAUUAAUUAAUUAAUCAUAAAUCAAAUGAAUAUGUAGAGAAAUAAACAUAACAAUAAUAAAAACAAUGAUAGUCCAUUUGAAAGUUUGAUAUACAUAUAUAUUAAAUAUUAUAAUAAUUUGUCAAAGGGACGUAUUUUUUCUAUUUAUAGGUUUCUAGAAAUAUACAUAUAGAAAAAGCAAAGCUUUGCAAUGAAGGAGUGGUCUUUGUAGUUGUUAAUUUAGUUGAUGAUAUCAUCAUAAAUUGUAUGUAGGCAUGAAAGAUGGGUAGGCCGUCGUUUUUUGAGGAGUUGUGACGAAGGCGUUCUACAUUUCGUAUGAUUUAAUUAAAUAACUAAAUUGUUUUCUUCAUUUCUUCUCUCUCUAAAAAUUAUCCCACGACAAGUUUCUUAUGGAGGAGAAAAAAGGAGGAAAAUGAGAAAGUGAUGAUUUUUUUCCAUGAUAAGGAACAUGGGAGAGAGAGAAAAAAAAUGGGUUUCAAGGUAAUACAUAGUCAAAAUACAUAUAUAUAUAAAUGAGCAUAACAGGAAGGUGAAUAACCCUUUUACUCUAAAUGAAAAAGAAGGAGCAACUCAUCGCAUAUAUGUAGGUAUGUACUUGAGGAAGGGUCAUGUCCCAAAAGAACAUUUUUUUUUUCUUAAAAAAAACACACAACCUUGGAAUUCCCUGCCUAUGAGUGACUCAUAGUUGUACAUAUAGAGAAUAUAUGUAUUAUCUCAUUACAGAAUCAUUUAUUCAAUGAAAAGACAUGAAACUAUGAGAUACUUCUAGUAUAUAAUAAAAAAGAACGAGGUCAUAUGUGAAUGGGGGAACACAUUUGAGGGCAAACCAAUUCCAAGUGAGUGUAUUUUUUUGUUUUUAUAAAGAUUGAGUGUGCUCAAAAAGAUAAAAAGGAAAUUAUUCAUUUAAAAUAUGAUACAGAAUAAUAUACAUAUAAUAGCAUAGUAGAGUAGUACAACUGAUAUAUGAUGGAAAAGGAAGCCAAGGGCAUCCACACGAACGCCUUCGAGUAAACCAAAGACUCAUAUUAUAUUACUAUGAAUGUAGUCCUUAAGUUGUCCCGAAAACAAAUUUUACAAAUUAUAUCUGUAUAUCAAUAUAAUAAGUAAUUGAGUGAAGGGGUUAUGAUAUAUGUCAUAUGUAUAAAAAAGUAUGUAAAUAUCAGUUUACAUAUGGGAAUGGAAAUACAUAAAUUAUUAUUAUGAACCCUCCUCCGACACUUCUACUCUAGUCUACGUACAUAUAUAUCUACAUGUACUAUUCCUUAUCAAAAAUUUAAGCAAGUAUGUAUUUAUAUAAGAGAGACAAGAGAAGCACUCUUCAGGUGUUGCUGUUGUUGUCGUCGUCGCAAUCCUCGUGCAUGGCGGUAAAAGAUAGAAGGGACGAUCACUUCAUUCGUAAAAAUACUCAUCAGCUAAUUCAAUUAGCUAUUAUAUUACUAUUAGAAUCCAAUUCUACUGCCACUCCAAUGUACUGAUCAAAGAACAAAUAUCCAUUUUUUUUAUUUAAAACAAAAAAACAAUUACGCAGCCCAUUUGACAAUUUAUAAAAACAUUUAUAUUAAUUUUUGAAAUAUAAGGAGAGAGUAGCUAGCACAACGUGUACUUUUGAGUACUAUGAUAUAUUGAGUACUUUUUUUAAGUAGUCCUUGUUUAAUUAUAAAUACGUACC
rnacentral:lncRNA from 1 species